GACGAACGCUGGCGGCGUGCUUAACACAUGCAAGUCGAACGGAAAGGCCCUGCUUUCGUGGGGUGCUCGAGGGGCGAACGGGUGUGUAACACGUGAGUAACCUGCCCUUGACUUUGGGAUAACUUCAGGAAACUGGGGCUAAUACCGGAUAGGAGCUCCUGCGGCAGGGUGGGGGUUGGAAAGUUUCGGCGGGUGGGGAUGGACGCGCGGCUUAUCAGCUUGUUGGUGGGGUAGUGGCUUACCAAGGCUUUGACGGGCAGCCGGCCUGAGAGGGUGACCGGCCACAUUGGGCCUAGGUUACGGCCCGGCCUCCAACGGGAGGCAGAGGGGGGGAUAAUUGACAAAUGGGGGGAGGCCGGAUGCAGCACGGCCGGGUGCGGGAUGACGGCCUUCGGUUUGUAAACCGCUUUGGCCUGGGACGAAGCGUUAGUGACGGUAACGGGUUAAGAAGCACCGGCUAACUACGUG
rnacentral:rRNA from 1 species